GUCUUGGUGGCAAGAACCAGCCAAUCAAGGCCAGAAGUUUGUUUUUUGCCGCGCAUGGCAAGUGUUUUCAAGGUCUCCACCGACGAUUCAUCAGGACGAGACCAGCAGGACACUAGGGAGGAAUGGCUUAUGCAAGGGAGGCUACAUAUACGACAGCUUCUUGCGGACAAGAAACGAAAAUAGAUAGAUGUUUCCAUGGCCCACAAGCCAGCCGGCGCCAGUUCGUUCUCGUUCAAAG